AGAACGAACGCUGGCGGCACGCCUAACACAUGCAAGUCGAGCGCCCAGCAAUGGGAGCGGCGGACGGGUGAGGAACACGUGGGAACAUGCCUUUCGGUUCGGCACAACUGCGGGAAACUGCAGCUAAUUCCGGAUACGCCCUUACGGGGAAAGAUUUAUCGCCGAAAGAUUGGCCCGCGUCUGAUUAGCUAGUUGGUGAGGUAAUGGCUCACCAAGGCUUCGAUCAGUAGCUGGUUUGAGAGAACGACCAGCCACACUGGGACUGAGACACGGCCCAGACUCCUACGGGAGGCAGCAGUGGGGAAUCUUGGACAAUGGAGGAAACUCUGAUCCAGCGAUGCCGCGUGAGUGAUGAAGGCCUUCGGGUUGUAAAACUCUUUUACCAGGGAAGAUAAUGACUGUACCUGGAGAAUAAGCCCGGCUAACUUCGUGCCAGCAGCCGC
rnacentral:rRNA from 1 species